rnacentral:rRNA from 1 species
GACGAACGUUGGCGGCGUGCUUAAUACAUGCAAGUCAACUGAAGCAGUGGUAGCAAUAUCGCUGUGGAGGUGGCGCACGGGUGAGUAACACGUAGGUAAUCUGCCUUCAGGUCUGGCAUAACUCCGGGAAACCGGGGCUAAUAGCAGAUGAUGCAGCGGCUCGACAUCGAGACAGUUGUUAAAGCUAUGGCGCCUGAAGAUGAGCCUGCGUCUGAUUAGCUAGUUGGCGGGGUAACGGCCCACCAAGGCAACGAUCAGUAGCUGGUCUGAGAGGAUGAUCAGCCACACUGGAACUGAGACACGGUCCAGAAUCCUACGGGAGGCAGCAGUAAGGAAUAUUGCUCAAUGGGAGAAAUCCUGAAGCAGCAACGCCGCGUGAGGGACGAAGGGCUUUUGCUUGUAAACCUCUGUAGUGAGAGAAAAAAAUCCCAAUCUUUGGGACAUGAUGGUAUCUCAAAAGUAAGCCCCGGCUAACUACGUG